rnacentral:lncRNA from 1 species
GCUAUUGCUUCUGCCCUGUUUCAUUUAUUGCCAGAAGUGGUUUGCCAGAAGAUAUGCAGGUAUUCAUGUCCGAUAGGAUAGUUUACUUUACCCCGAAUUUUGCAGAUCCUUUUUAGUUGUUUUCUUUGUUAGGAUGGACAAUUUGGAGUAUAAGCAGCAGAGAAUCCAGGAUGGUGAUAGAAAAGAUAGAAUAUAUAUGCAUCUUUUUUUGUGUGAUAAGGAAGAAUUUCACAAUUCUUCACUAAAAUUCCCCUCAACUCACUAGAUGAAUGCAACCACUAGGUUUAUUCAGAUGAUCACUUUGGUGUAGUUAAUGUACACUUGAAGAAAAUCUCCUGGUGUUCAAGAAAACAAAAGUGAUCUUCAUGAGAACCACAGUGAACUCCAACUUCAGAUUGCCUAUUUUCUUCUUGUUUUCCCUGAAGAUAUAAAAUCUGGAGAGGUCGAAGUUCUCCAUUUUCUGAAUCACAGAUCCCAGAGAGGAUCCAUAUGAUCAAGAUCAGUCUCUUGAGGAAACAACAGCAUUUACUUCUGAGGAUCAUGUGGGGUAAAUUACUUGUUCCUACAAGUCUAAUUAACUCCCCUCACCUCCCUCCAGCCCUAAC